UCUCCUACCUCAGGGUCAGGUGUAACCCGCGUCUCUCUCCUACCUCAGGGUCAGGUGUAACCCGCGUCUCUCUCCUACCUCAGGGUCAGGUGUAACCCGCGUCUCUCUCCUACCUCAGGGUCAGGUGUAACCCGCGUCUCUCUCCUACCUCAGGGUCAGGUGUAACCCGCGUCUCUCUCCUACCUCAGGGUCAGGUGUAACCCGCGUCUCUCUCCUACCUCAGGGUCAGGUGUAACCCGCGUCUCUCUCCUACCUCAGGGUCAGGUGUAACCCGCGUCUCUCUCCUACCUCAGGGUCAGGUGUAACCCGCGUCUCUCUCCUACCUCAGGGUCAGGUGUAACCCGCGUCUCUCUCCUACCUCAGGGUCAGGUGUAACCCGCGUCUCUCUCCUACCUCAGGGUCAGGUGUAACCCGCGUCUCUCUCCUACCUCAGGGUCAGGUGUAACCCGCGUCUCUCUCCUACCUCAGGGUCAGGUGUAACCCGCGUCUCUCUCCUACCUCAGGGUCAGGUGUAACCCGCGUCUCUCUCCUACCUCAGGGUCAGGUGUAACCCGCGUCUCUCCUACCUCAGGGUCAGGUGUAACCUGUGUCUCUCCUACCUCAGGGUCAGGUGUAACCGGUGUCUCUCCUACCUCAGGGUCAGGUGUAACCUGUGGUUCUUCUCCUGCAGCAACUCCUUCACAGGAAACAGAGC